UACGUAGGGGGCAAGCGUUGUCCGGAAUCAUUGGGCGUAAAGCGCGUGUAGGCGGCUCGGUAAGUCCGCUCUGAAAGUCCGGGGCUCAACCCCGGGAGGCGGGUGGAUACUGUCGAGCUCGAGUCCGGAAGAGGCGAGUGGAAUUCCUGGUGUAGCGGUGAAAUGCGCAGAUAUCAGGAGGAACACCGAUGGCGAAGGCAGCUCGCUGGGACGUGACUGACGCUGAGACGCGAAAGCGUGGGGAGCAAACAGG
rnacentral:rRNA from 1 species